ACCAUAUCUAGUAGUCACGGUCUCUCGAGUCGCAAGAUCGAGGGCUAAGAGGGAAUCCGGUGCGCGAGGUCUCUAUCCAGGGCCACGCAACGCCGGAGCUGCCCCCGCAACUGUAAGCGGUGAGCCGAAGUCCACCAUUUGUCACUGAGAUCGAUGCGAUCUCGGGAAGGCAGGACCGAGGCGACGACCCGCGAGCCAGGAGACCUGCCGCGACGCCGUAUCGUCCC
rnacentral:ncRNA from 1 species